AAGUCAUAACAAGGUUUCUGUAGGUGAACCUGCAGAAGGAUCAUUAUUUGAAUUGUUUAGAAUUCGGGAAUUUCGUAUUCGGAAUGCAUUCCUUCAUCACAUUUCUUUUAUUUCCUAAACACCUGUGAAUCGUUGCUGAGUUCGCUCAGUAGCAACAUUUUUUUAUACACACAUAAUAGUUUAGAACGUAAAAAUAUAUAAUAAAAUACAA
rnacentral:misc_RNA from 1 species